rnacentral:rRNA from 1 species
GACAGAGGGUGCAAACGUUGUUCGGAAUUACUGGGCGUAAAGCGCGUGUAGGUGGCGAUGUAAGUCGGGUGUGAAAUCCCUUGGCUUAACCAAGGAAGUGCAUUCGAUACUGUGUCGCUUGAGUAUCGGAGGGGUCGGCGGAAUUCCCGGUGUAGAGGUGAAAUUCGUAGAUAUCGGGAGGAACACCUGUGGCGAAGGCGGCCGACUGGACGAUCACUGACACUGAGGAGCGAAAGCGUGGGGAGCGAACAGG